CAACAGACACCACAGCAGACACCACAGCUAUUAAAGUACAGUAGCAUUUAAUACUUAUUUAAUAACAGAUCAACGGAUCAGAUGAAACCUUCUAAAAACAGGAAAUGUAGAGAGAAAACCACAAGUCUGAAAACUCAGGUGAAAUCGCAGAUAUCGAGAAGCAGACAGACGGUUCUAAACUGUUAUGAAAGAGGAAAGACAGCAAUGGGAGCUGGUAAUUCACAUGAUUUGACCUAUUUCCCCAGCCAAGAGGGAAAUGCUCUAUCAAAGUGUCCAGUUUGUAUCUCCUCACUGAGACUCGGCCAUACUAGUGCAUUGCUUCAGUGUACUCAAUGCCCUACUGCUCCGUUCCUGUGUGGCUCCUGCCUCUACCCCUGCUCUACUGAUUCUGCUACCUGUACAAACAACAUGUGCCCACUGGUAUCUACCCUACUAACCUGUGGACUGGUGUCAGACCCAAAGAGUAAAGUGUUUGGCUGUCCUGAGUUCCGAGCCUGUCCCAAGUGUCGCGAUUUAAUUAUUCAUGUAUCUGGGUGUAAGUUUGUGAGUUGCCACUCAUGCAAACACCGCUUCUGUUUCAUCUGCUUACAAGAUGACUGUUGCAAUGAUGUGGAGAAGUACUGGUCACUAACUUGCAAAAAGCCAAGAGCACGAAGACAAAGAUUUAUACUAACAUCCUGAACAUUCAUGGGUUGCCUAUUGUAUUCGUAGCCAAGUCUGUAACUCCAGAAUUAAUUAAUCGAUUUAAACCACUAAAGAAAUGUAUUGGCAUUGACAACAACAUUUGAACGGUUUAGGUU